UACCGAGUUUACAACUCCCAAACCCAAUGUGAACGUUACCAAACUGUUGCCUCGGCGGGGUCACGCCCCGGGUGCGUCGCAGCCCCGGAACCAGGCGCCCGCCGGAGGAACCAACCAAACUCUUUCUGUAGUCCCCUCGCGGACGUUAUUUCUUACAGCUCUGAGCAAAAAUUCAAAAUGAAUCAAAACUUUCAACAACGGAUCUCUUGGUUCUGGCAUCGAUGAAGAACGCAGCGAAAUGCGAUAAGUAAUGUGAAUUGCAGAAUUCAGUGAAUCAUCGAAUCUUUGAACGCACAUUGCGCCCGCCAGUAUUCUGGCGGGCAUGCCUGUCCGAGCGUCAUUUCAACCCUCGAACCCCCCUCGGGGGGAUCGGCGUUGGGGAUCGGGACCCCUCACACGGGUGCCGGCCCUGAAAUACAGUGGCGGUCUCGCCGCAGCCUCUCCUGCGCAGUAGUUUGCACAACUCGCACCGGGAGCGCGGCGCGUCCACGUCCGUAAAACACCCAACUUUCUGAAAUGUUGACCUCGGAUCAGGUAGGAAUACCCGC
rnacentral:rRNA from 1 species